rfam:Bacteroides caecimuris strain I48, complete genome.
UCAGGUGGUUAUAGCACGAGGGUUCCACCUCUUCCCAUUCCGAACAGAGAAGUUAAGCCUCGUCACGCCGAUGGUACUGCGUAACAGUGGGAGAGUAGGUAGCCGCCGUUU